GUGGCCAGCAAGUUGCUUUUCUACAAUCAGCACACAUUUGAUGUUCAGAGAGCGCCUCGCGCACAAUUUAGUUCUCGCAUGCGUGUUCGAUGAAUGGCGUUACACAAGGAAUUGGAAAAUAGGCAAAAUGGCAAAUUUCUUUAGAAGGAUUUUUCUGAACGAUAAAAAUCGCUUAAAAGCAGGGGAUUUGGUGCUCAACGCGGGAAAGCGAAAGAAGAGGUCCAAAAUCUUGACGGGUAACAUCUGACAAGUGACAUUUUGGUUAGCAAUCAAAGCGCCUGCGAUUACCUAGACAGCGGCUUCCUGUGCCCGAGGGGUUCUGGGUCUACCCAUAAGUCAUUGUUCAAUUUUCGCGCCUUGGAGUGGUAGUUCAGGCCGGUAGUUCAGGUUCGACUUCCCUGGAUGAAUUGAGUGUAGCGUUUCUGUUAGAAAAAGAGGACAUCUUUUAUUUAAAUACCAAUGGAAGAGGCGUUAAUAUAGGCAACAAGAGCAAAGAACGUGAUUAUUGAGGUGCAUUGUACUCUCAACAUGGCCUCAACGGCCAUACUCAAGAAGGCUAGAAACUGUGGUAAGUUCUUUUGGCUCUUAUAUCCAUACCGGGCUUGAAUUUGGAUGCAAGUAAAUAUGCUCGCCGACACUACUUUUAUUCCAGUUGGUUCUCACUUAGCUCGGUUGCAAUCUAAAGAAAAAGAUGCAGUUUACCUUUAUAUCCAGCAAAAUAAAUUCACAGUAUUUAAGAAGAUAAAUUUUUUUGUGAACCCUUAUCCAUUAUAGUUUCAAAGUUUGGGGAUUCUGUCGAUUUGACUCGGCGAAAUUGUUAUAUUGACAUCCAUUCCCUGAGUGUAGGUUUUUGUCCAGGGGUGGUACCUUUUAUAGUUUUCGAGUAAAGUGAGUUUUAGUGAACUUCGAAAAAUGCCCAUAACUCAUCGAGUUUUUAUCCGAAAAAAAUUCUUUUCACUCAUCUGCAAUGAGUUUAAACAGUCUGGCCCACCCUCUUCAAUUAAAGGUUAUUUAUUUAAGUACAUUUAUCUUUUUUAGGGAAAUGGCUACGGCUAGUCAUUUUACCUGGAAUCCUCUGUAACACAUGGUAAAACAUGGAAUAGCUUGUUACUCAGUUGAAUGGUGACUCCCUUGCAAUGCUUGUGAUCUUCCAGGGCAGGUAACGAUUAUAUUAUAUGGAUUUGUGAAUGAUUUGAGGAAAUGGCUACAAGAACUUUUUUUUUUUGCUACUGUGCAUGUGGGGGUACCACAAGAGUGAAUGCUUGACCAUGGGGUUGGCUGGAAUAAGUUGAAUAUACUUAGACUGUGGUUGUUAUAAAGCUCUACCUUAGAAUAACUUAUUUAUAAAUAAGAAAAUAUCUAAAUAAUCAAAAGAUUUGAUAUUUGUUAAACGAUUCUUACCUAUUUGCUUCUAAAACUUGAACACAAGUUUAUGUCAUUCAACUUUAAGUCAAGUUAUUGAUUGAAAACGUGGUUGCAUUUUCUGCCGAAUCACGCAAGCCCAUGUUAACACGCUCUUAUUCGAGGCUAGGUUUUUCGCCUGUAUUUGAUUCCUUUUAACGUGAAAUCAAUUUGCAACAGUUUCAGAGCUUUAUUGAGGUUCUCUGUGAGGUCAAACAUAUCUAAGUUAUUAUUUCAUACAAAGAUUCCCCCCGAGAAUUUAUUGAAUGCAAUUUUGCCCUUUUUUAUUAUUAUACAAAUAACAUAUGUACAACUGAAAUGUUGAUCUUCAAAGGUGCCAUUUUGUGCAAUCUGGAGAAUCUGAAGGCCCAAAAUUGUAUUCCAUUUGAGUGGCAGAUCUAGGAUUUAAAAAGGGGGGGGGGCGACUUUUUUGGUACAGUUUCUGUUGCAAUUUUUUUUUUUAAUGUAAAGGAAUAAUAUACUAAAUAAGUGCACAUAUUUUUUAGGGGGGGCUGACGAAGUCUAACACUAAAAAAAAAAAACUAAAUAGACAUUUAAAUAGGUAAAGUAAUGUGCAUCUUUAUCCGUUAACAAUUUGCAUUGCUUUAUUUUUUUUCCCAAAAAUGCUGAACCUUAUCAUGGAAGGUAUUCCCGAAUUUUAACAACAUCUUCUUUAUCAGUAACUGUUUGGAUGGAAACAUCAGCUACCUCUUUUGGGAUGCGUACAGGAAGGGUGGCUUCUGUGGAAUUGUGAAAGGCAUGUCAAACUUGUCUCCUUGAAAGUUUCUUUCAAUUCUUUUGGCUGAGCCAUGUUUGAACUUCUUGUGUCACAGGGGACUCCAUCUUUGGACUCCACAAUGCUUGAUAUGAAGCAUUACUUCCAGUAUAUCAUUCUGUUAGUUCCUUAUGUGGCGAUUCUUUAAAAUUUUGAGUGCACUGGCACCUGUUUCAGGCCAUGCGUUGUUGCCCCUCUAACCUAUAAAAACUAUUUAAAAUUAUCUAUUUGACUUAGUAGGGAUAAAAGUAUUGAUAUAUUGCUUAGUGUGAAUAGCAGGACGCUGGAAUUGGUGCUGCUUGACAUUAACUUGUCUUGUUCUUCUGAAGCAAAAGAUGGUAUAGCUGUUUACAUGGGUCACAUAUAAUGGAUUCAAAUAUCUUAUAACAUAGUUCAGUACGUCUGUCAUGAGAUAUAAAUGAUAACGUGCGCCUCUGGAACUGUAUGUGUUUCUUGGUGUUAAUUUGCAUCUUCAAAAGAACAGCGAACAGCUUUUUUUCUUUUUUCAAUACCAAUUAUACAAGCCGUUAUAUAAAUGCGUUAAAGUCAUACUCUAGAGAAGCAAACUUUUCUAGAAACUACAGUAAUUGGGCCAUGGUAUGACUACGUGGGCUUAAACUCUAUUGGUCAGCGGUCUUGUGACAAAGAACUUUGUUCAUGGCUGGGUAUCAUGCCAUCAUGUUGUGAUGAGUAAACAUUGUUGCAGACCAACUUGUAGUUGACAGUAAAUGCUGAUCUUUGUAAAUUAUUUGUGUCUUUUUUGCCUGAGUUUAACUUUUGUCAUUAUUAGUCCUCCUCCUCUUGGUCUUUUUCACUGGGUUUGCACUUUAUUCUCUGCUAACUUUUGUUUUUUUAAUAUAAUUUAACCUAGAGAUCUGCCAGUUUUUUACCUCGUUUUCUUGAGUGAACUCCAUUACCAGGCGACUCUUAUUCCUAUUAUAAUAAUUUAUUACAUUUAUAUUGCACAAUUAUCAAUAUAUAAAAAUUUUCAAUUGCGCAUUACAUCAAGUAAAAAAUAAAACUAAUGCCAAACUAUGAUAAAACUAUGAAUAAUAUAAUUGAAAUAGAGCUAUGAUAAAAAUAUAAGCAAAAAAUAAAUAAGUUAUAAAUUAAAUGCUUCUUUAUGUCUCAAGUGCUUUUUUUAAACUAUGGUUCUUUGUCUUCAUCAAGCUACGCAAAUGGUUCCUCAGCCCAUGCCACCACAUUUCUUUAUAUAUAUAUAUAUAUAUAGAAUUUGUGCAUCUUACUAUUUCUAGAAGACUAUUCCAAUGACGGGGCGCAGCGACUGGAAAUGCCAAUCGCCGUAAGAAUUUGUUUACUUGAUGGUGCAUCUAAGGGUCAUGUUGUUAUUUGAUCUCAGACUAUGAGUUCUAUUGUUUAAAACGUUUAUAAAAUCCUUAAGGUGGAAUGAGACCUUUAGAAUUGAUAUUUUUCAAUUUAGUUGCAAUUAAAUUAAUAUCACUGUAGUAUUAUAUUACUAAGAUUGUUUAAUGGUAUUUUAUCUACUAUCAGUUGCUAUGGUAAGCAGCCAAUGCCCCUUAAAGAUCAUUUUAAUAGCCCCACGCCAAUGGUUCUAGCUCUUGAACCACUAAAGAGAAGACUCU